rnacentral:lncRNA from 1 species
GAUCCAACGGUCCAGAUUUCGCUCAGAUAAAAAGUAUGAAAUUACUGUUAGUGAGGCUUGAUCCUCAGGUCCUUCUGUUGCCAUGCACGCAAAGAUUGGACGACUAUGAAAUUUAGGGGUGAGUAUGAAUAGAGUGGGCCGCUACCCCCUGUCGAGCAGAAGCAUGACAGAUAAGAGAGCAGAGCAGUCGAGUUUAGUUGAGAACCGAGGUCUCAGUUUGCCUGAGAAGGAGGCCGACGUCGGUGAGCUUUUCACUUCUCCUUCCUUUGCUAUUUCAAUUUAAUUCCUCAUUCUCACCAUGCAUGUGUUUACACUUAGAUUUAGAAAAGGUUUAAAGUUGAGAGAGAGGGAAACUUGAAUGCCGAAAGGAGCUCCAACCCCCCUUUCCAUUUAAAUUCAGGUGAAGGUGCAAGUUGCUAUUAGAAGUCCUUAAAAAUUAAAUCUAACUAGUGGGUUCUUUUAAUAAGAAAUUUUAUGCAGGAUUCAACUCGAUGGAGACUAUUCACUUAUUUUUAUUUUUCUUUUGAAUUCUAU